rnacentral:sRNA from 1 species
UAAUAAACAUAGAAAAAGGACGUGCUUCCAACACGUCCAUUGUAGAACCGUUAAAAAGACGGUGGCAGUAAUAAAUAGUUUUUAACC